UAUAUUCUUUUUAACCGACUUCCAAAAAAGGAGGAGGUUCUCAAUUCGACUGUAUUUUUUUUAUGUAUGUUACAUCAGAACUUUUGACCGGGUAGACCGAUUUCGACAAUUUUUUUAUUAAUCGAAAGGUGGUGUGUGUCAAUUAGUUCCAUUUAAAUUUAUUUGAGAUCUAACAACUACUUUUCGAGUUAUAUCUAAUAAUGCGUUUUUACUUGACGCUUUUUUC
rnacentral:misc_RNA from 1 species